AGCGUGGGUAGCAAACAGGAUUAGAUACCCUGGUAGUCCACGCCCUAAACGAUGUCAACUAGGUGUUGGGUGGGUAAAACCAUUUAGUACCGUAGCUAACGCGUGAAGUUGACCGCCUGGGGAGUACGGCCGCAAGGUUAAAACUCAAAGGAAUUGACGGGGACCCGCACAAGCGGUGGAUGAUGUGGAUUAAUUCGAUGCAACGCGAAAAACCUUACCUACCCUUGACAUGUUCAGAAUCCCGGAGAGAUUUGGGAGUGCCCGAAAGGGAGCUGGAACACAGGUGCUGCAUGGCUGUCGUCAGCUCGUGUCGUGAGAUGUUGGGUUAAGUCCCGCAACGAGCGCGACCCUUGUCGUUAAUUGCCAUCAUUUAGUUGGGCACUUUAACGAGACUGCCGGUGACAAACCGGAGGAAGGUGGGGAUGACGUCAAGUCCUCAUGGCCCUUAUGGGUAGGGCUUCACACGUCAUACAAUGGUCGGUACAGAGGGUUGCCAAGCCGCGAGGUGGAGCCAAUCCCAGAAAGCCGAUCGUAGUCCGGAUUGCAGGCUGCAACUCGCCUGCAUGAAGUCGGAAUCGCUAGUAAUCGCGGAUCAGCAUGUCGCGGUGAAUACGUUCCCGGGUCUUGUACACACCGCCCGUCACACCAUGGGAGCGGGUUCCGCCAGAAGUAGUAGCCUAACCGCAAGGAGGGCGCUACCACGGCGGGCC
rnacentral:rRNA from 1 species